rnacentral:rRNA from 1 species
CCUACGGUGGGCAGCAGUGGGGAAUAUUGCACAAUGGGGGAAACCCUGAUGCAGCGACGCCGCGUGAGUGAAGAAGUAUUUCGGUAUGUAAAGCUCUAUCAGCAGGAACGAGACAAGACGGUACCUGACUAAUAAGCCCCGGCUAACUACGUGCCAGCAGCCGCGGUAAUACGUAGGGGGCAAGCGUUAUCCGGAAUCACUGGGUGUAAAGGGAGCGUAGACGGCUGUGCAAGCCUGAAGUGAAAGGCGGGGGCCCAACCCCUGGACUGCUUUGGGAACUGUACGGCUGGAGUGCAGGAGAGGUAAGUGGAAUUCCUAGUGUAGCGGUGAAAUGCGUAGAUAUUAGGAGGAACACCAGUGGCGAAGGCGGCUUACUGGACUGUAACUGACGUUGAGGCUCGAAAGCGUGGGGAGCAAACAGGAUUAGAUACCCUUGUAGUC